rnacentral:rRNA from 1 species
ACAGCUCAAAUUUGAAAGCUGGCCCCCCCCGGGGGUCCGCGUUGUAAUUUGUAGAGGAUGAUUCGGCGAGGGCUCCCGCCUAAGUCCCCUGGAACGGGGCGUCAUAGAGGGUGAGAAUCCCGUAUGCGGUGGGCUGCCUUAGCCAUGUGAAUCUCCUUCGACGAGUCGAGUUGUUUGGGAAUGCAGCUCUAAAUGGGAGGUAAAUUUCUUCUAAAGCUAAAUACCGGCCAGAGACCGAUAGCGCACAAGUAGAGUGAUCGAAAGAUGAAAAGCACUUUGGAAAGAGAGUUAAAAAGUACGUGAAAUUGUUGAAAGGGAAGCGCUUGCAGCCAGACUUGCCCGCAGUUGCUCAGCCGGUCUCCUGACCGGCGCACUCUUCUGCGGCCAGGCCAGCAUCAGUUCGGGCGGUCGGAUAAAGGCCCCGGGAACGUAGCUCCUCUCGGGGAGUGUUAUAGCCCGGGGUGGAAUGCGGCCAGCCUGGACUGAGGAUCUCGCUUCGGCUAGGAUGCUGGCGUAAUGGCUGUAAG